rnacentral:lncRNA from 1 species
AGCAAGAAUUGCUAUGUUUGUCGAGAGGAUCAUAUUGAACGGCUAUACAUUUAUCAGAUAUGGUGGUACGAAAAUUAAAUUAAAGAAAUGGAGAGUAAUGAUAAAAUUAUAAAGUAUGAAAGCAACCAUGCAUUGUUGAAUGAAGAGCAGCAAUUGGAAAAGGUAAACGAAAAAAUUUUAUCCCUUCAAAACUUUGCUGUAAAUGAUCAGGGAAGUAAUCAAUGUACGGUCGUACUUAAACACUGUAAAGAUGUGCAUAUUGGACCAAAAAUCGAAUAUCAUAAUCAUCCGCCGACCACAUCCCAUCCAAUUAAAAUCGAUAAACC